GUUUAUAAACGUGACGAGCUUUGUGGCGUGUGAUUGUUACCAAGGAGUAAGCUUGUCAGAGUCACACAGGCUGGAAGACCGAUACAAGAGGAAACAGCGGAACCCAGGGACCAAAAGCCGCAUGUUUCCAUGUGAUUUCCUCCGUGGGCCUCCAUUGCCAACUCCCAUCUUUUCGUCAGCGGGACUCUACCGCCUGGAACUCUCUGUUCAGGAAUUAAGAUGGGACCGGCUGGUUGAAGAAAGACAAGCGUAGGGCUCCCACUAAUUACAAAAGCUACAUUCAGCAUUAUGCUGAUGGAGCACAAACACACAUAUGCUGCGAGGGGUCAACGUGUGUUCUCUUUCUCACACACACAACACACAUACACACACUUACACACACACACAUACAUACAUGGACAUGGACUUCACAUUGGCGUGCAAGCCCGCCAGCAGAGACGACUGACAGCCGAGGCGAAGUGCUGACGGGAGGCAACGUUCCUUGAGUUCCUUUUUUGGAGCUUGGGUGCCACUUUGUUCCCUGCUUUCCUCUCUUUCUCUCUCUCUCUCUCUCUCUCUCUCUCUUGCUCUCUCUCCCCCCAGCAACCACCACCUCCUCGUUCACGCACCUGUUCCCAAUCAGCACUCAUCAUUGCCCGUAUUUAAGCCUGCUUGACCCAGGGAUCCGGCGCCAGAGUAUUCGCACUCAUUCAUGUAUUCCUUCCGUGUCACUUCACUGCCGGCUUCAACCACGCCGUCAAGCCCGUCCGCCUGCUCACACUUCCGCCUCCUGCCAGUUCCUCGCUCCUUCGGACCACCCUAACGCAUUGGAAAUACUAACCUGGAGGGGCCGGGUGGGCUGGAAUGGAUUAAUUGCUUUUCCAUUUAGUUCAAUGGGGAAAGAUGAUUUAUAUUGGUUCCACAGUCAUAAUGGCCCGCUGAGAGAAACCAUAACUACGAUGUGGCCCAUGACCAAAAAUGAGUUUGACUAUUGUAUUAAACAUUAUAAAAUUGAAAGAAGAUGUUCCACUGUAUCUAAUUCAAGAUGACAGGCUUGUUUUUUGCCUAUUUAAUAAAUAUAUCCAUAUAGGCCAAAAAUGCUUUUGAAAUCUUUGUUGAAUCCUAUGAAUUAGUUUUAGAUCAGAUAAGCUGAGAAGGUAAGCAAAAGCGAACAUUUGCGUUCGUGGCAUCCUGUUAAUUUGCAGCAUCAGGCCAUAUCAGCGUGAGGAGAGGCAAGUUUGCCGGUGGAAGCUGCAGCUGCUUGGUUAUCUCUCGUCUAAUGCUCCCAUGGUGGCUCAUUUAACCAGGCGAGGAAGCAGAGUGCAGCCGACAAGUAAACGAGGCCUCAUCGGACGCACUGGGAAGCAGAAAGCGGGAGAGGUGGCCAAGGAAUCAACUUUUUGCGCUGUUCCAUGUUUAAUUGAGCAUAUUUACAAGGCUAGAAAAGUCAAGUGUCCCCCUUUUUUCAGGGUACACCAUGUGUGCCGUGUUUGUGGACUAGGACUCACAUUUCACUUAUGUGCAUAAGAAAUUAAGAGUUUUGAAAUUGAUUUUUUAGUCCACGCGAAAAGUUUAAUUUAAAAAAAAAAAAAAAUUGAUAACUGCAACCAAAAUAAUAUUGCCAAACCUUAACAACUUCACCACUGCAAAAUACAGUGGUACCUUGGUACCAGUUUUAUUCAUUUGUUUUGUUGUAACUCACAUCACUCGUUUUCGCAAAUCAUCUUUCCCCAUUAAAAUAAAUGAAAAUACGAUUAAUCCGU